GGGUGCCCAGGCAGCCAAGUGGGAAUGUGGGGGACUGGCAGCUUUUGCGGAGGUCUUGUCUCUCCGCCUCCCUCCUCCCAGCCUGUCUCCCUCUUCUCAACUCUAAACACAAGGCCAAGCCCGGUGGUGUGAAUGCACAAAAGCACAAAGCCACACACCAAGCAGCCCUGAGAAGUGCCAAAUGUGGGUUGUGGCCAAGACCUGAGGUUCCCUCAGGCCUCUUUCAAAAGCCCACAAAGGACAGAGUGGGGGAUGGGGAGUGGGGGAUGGGGAGAACCCACCCGAAGCUCAGUCCUCUGUGCUCAUGGCUCCCCUCCAGUCCGUUCCAUCCAAAGAACUUUCUGUUCAAUCUGGGGCCGUUAACAGAGUCCCCUUGCACACUCGUGUUGCCCUCUCAUGCUGGAUGCCCCGGCGGCAACGUCCCUGAAUAGCUCCGGUCCAACUUGACAGCCUCAAAAGGAAACACUUAAAGUACAGUGUGACGUGCCCUAGAACAGAAAUGCAUACGAGAUCCGGGAGAUCCAGCAGCAAACCAGGUCUGUGCCUUGCCUCCCCCCAUUUUGUCAGUCCCUCCACCUGUCUCAACCCCAGCAUCUAAAUUCUGCACAACGUCCACGGCCCAACUCAACACUCAGCUCAGCAGUCACUCUCUCCAGAUCAUGUCAGACUGCUGCUGGUUCCUUCUCCUUCGCUCAUCCUCAUCUGUGCCACGCGGCCAGGCACCUCUUUCAGACCGCUCCUUCAAUGCAGGCCCUUAAAAACAUCAGUCACUCGGGGCACCUGGGUGGCUUAGUGGGUUAAAC
rnacentral:lncRNA from 1 species